rnacentral:rRNA from 1 species
AGUGGCAGACGGGUGAGUAACACGUGGGAACAUGCCCAAAGGUACGGAAUAUUCUCGGGAAACUGGGAGCAAUACCGUAUGUGCCCGAAAGGGGAAAGAUUUAUCGCCUUUGGAUUGGCCCGCGUCGGAUUAGCUAGUUGGUGGGGUAAAAGCCUACCAAGGCGACGGUCCGUAGCUGGUCUGAGAGGACGACCAGCCACACUGGGACUGAGACACGGCCCAGACUCCUACGGGAGGCAGCAGUGGGGAAUCUUGGACAAUGGGCGCAAGCCUGAUCCAGCCAUGCCGCGUGGAUGAUGAAGGCCUUAGGGUCGUAAAAUCCUUUCGCCGAGGACGAUAAUGACGGUACUCGGAGAAGAAGCUCCGGCUAACUUCGUGCCAGCAGCCGCGGUAAUACGAAGGGGGCUAGCGUUGUUCGGAUUUACUGGGCGUAAAGCGCGUG